rnacentral:rRNA from 1 species
AUUGAACGCUGGCGGCAGGCCUAACACAUGCAGUCGAGCGGAUGAAGGGAGCUUGCUCCUGGAUUCAGCGGCGGACGGGUGAGUAAUGCCUAGGAAUCUGCCUGGUAGUGGGGGAUAACGUCCGGAAACGGGCGCUAAUACCGCAUACGUCCUGAGGGAGAAAGUGGGGGAUCUUCGGACCUCACGCUAUCAGAUGAGCCUAGGUCGGAUUAGCUAGUUGGUGGGGUAAAGGCCUACCAAGGCGACGAUCCGUAACUGGUCUGAGAGGAUGAUCAGUCACACUGGAACUGAGGCACGGUCCAGACUCCUACGGGAGGCAGCAGUGGGGAAUAUUGGACAAUGGGCGAAAGCCUGAUCCAGCCAUGCCGCGUGUGUGAAGAAGGUCUUCGGAUUGUAAAGCACUUUAAGUUGGGAGGAAGGGCAGUAAGUUAAUACCUUGCUGUUUUGACGUUACCAACAGAAUAAGCACCGGCUAACUUCGUG